CCACCUCUCAAAGCUCAUAGCUUUGAUCAAGUGUAGUAUCUGUUCUUGUCAGUGUGACAGCUGACAAACUAGCUCCUUGGAGCUAGAAUAUGCUGGUGUGUGUGUGGAUGCUUUGACAGGCUUGCUUGUAGGGGCCAUGCACACACCAGGCAGACUCCCGGAAGUUGUUCCGUCCGGAGCUGCACUUUUU
rnacentral:snRNA from 13 species